AUGAACCCCAAUCUCAUCCACCUCCAGCGCCGCCACGCCCUGCAACGCCGCCGCGCGCCGCCGAACUCCGCCCCGUCGUCGCCCCGCCGAAAUCCGCCGGAACUCGACCCGCCGUCGCGCCGCCGCUCAAGCCCAGCUUCUGGAUCGGGUCAACGCGGUGGCUCGAGCGGCUGGGGGCGGAUCCGGCGAGGAGGAGGCCGGAGUCGAGGCGGGCCACGCCAUGGGAGGAGGCCGGAGCUCGAGGGGCACGGUAAUGGGUGCGGCGGGGCGGAUCCGGCGAGGAGAGACCGGAGUGGAGGUGGGGGCACGCCAUGGGAGGCUAGCAAAGCUUCGGGCAGCACCAUCCAUAGUGGUUGCUACCUGUGGGAGAAGAGGAGGGAGAUUUUGAGAAAGAGAGAGAGACAGGAGUAA
rnacentral:rRNA from 1 species